rnacentral:tRNA from 1 species
UGAAAUAUAGCUCAGUGGCAGAGUGCUUGCCUACCAUGCAUGAGGUUAUGGGUUCAGACCCCAAUGCCACAA